rnacentral:rRNA from 1 species
AGAACGAACGCUGGCGGCGUGCUUAACACAUGCAAGUCCGACGUGAAAGGGGAGCAAUCCCCCGGUAAGGUGGCGAACGGGUGAGUAAGACAUGGGAAUCUGCCCUGGAGAUGGGGAUAUCCUUCCGAAAGGGGGGCUAAUACCGAAUAACGUCCGGGUUCCGGGAGGGAUCCGGGGAAAGGGAGGCCUCUGGCAACAUGCUUCCGCUCCAGGAGGAGCCCAUGGCCCAUCAGUUAGUUGGUAGGGUAACGGCCUACCAAGGCGAAGACGGGUAGCUGGUCUGAGAGGACGAUCAGCCACACUGGCACUGAGACACGGGCCAGACUCCUACGGGAGGCAGCAGUGAGGAAUUUUGCGCAAUGGGGGCAACCCUGACGCAGCAACGCCGCGUGUGGGAAGAAGGCUUUCGGGUUGUAAACCACUUUUGUGAGGGACGAAGUCCUGCCGGUCAAUACCCGGCGGGGAUGACGGUACCUUGCGAAUAAGCCACGGCUAACUCUGUGCCAGCAGCCGCGGUAAGACAGGGGUGGCAAGCGUUGUUCGGAGUGACUGGGCGUAAAGGGUCUGUAGGUGGUUUUUCAAGUCUUUGGUAAAAAGCCGUGGCUUAACCAUGGUGAGGCCAAGGAGACUGGGAGACUCGAGGCUGGGAGAGGGAAGCGGAAUUUCUGGUGUAGCGGUGAAAUGCGUAGAGAUCGGAAAGAAGGCCGGUGGCGAAGGCGGCUUCCUGGAA